GGAUUAGAUACCCUGGUAGUCCACGCCGUAAACGUUGGGCACUAGGUGUGGGGUCUAUUCAACGGACUCCGUGCCGUAGCUAACGCAUUAAGUGCCCCGCCUGGGGAGUACGGCCGCAAGGCUAAAACUCAAAGGAAUUGACGGGGGCCCGCACAAGCAGCGGAGCAUGUUGCUUAAUUCGAGGCAACGCGAAGAACCUUACCUGGGUUUGACAUGUAGAGAAAAGCCAUAGAGAUAUGGUGUCCUUCGGGGUUCUACACAGGUGGUGCAUGGUUGUCGUCAGCUCGUGCCG
rnacentral:rRNA from 1 species